rnacentral:rRNA from 1 species
AACUAACAAGGAUUCCCCUAGUAACUGCGAGUGAACCGGGAAAAGCUCAAAUUUUGAAUCUGGCGGUCUUUAUGGCCGUCCGAGUUGUAAUCUAGAGAAGCGUCUUCCGCGCUGGACCGUGUAUAAGUUUCCUGGAAUGGAACGUCGUAGAGGGUGAGAAUCCCGUCUUUGACACGGACUACCAGGGCUAUGUGAUGCGCUCUCGACGAGUCGAGUUGUUUGGGAAUGCAGCUCAAAUAGGGUGGUAAAUUCCAUCUAAAGCUAAAUAUAGGCGAGAGACCGAUAGCGAACAAGUACCGUGAGGGAAAGAUGAAAAGAACUUUGGAAAGAGAGUUAAACAGUACGUGAAAUUGCUGAAAGGGAAACGCUUGAUGUCAGUCGCGUUUGUCGGGGAUCAGCCUUGCUCUUUUGCUCGGCGUACUUCCUGGCGAACGGGUCAGCAUCAGUUUUGUUCGUCGGAAAAUGGCUCGAGAAAUGUGGCACUCUUCGGGGUGUGUUAUAGACUCGGGUCGAAUACGACGUUCGGGACUGAGGAACUCAGCACGACCUUCGGGUUCGGGGCUUAGGCCCACGUUAACGUGCUUAGGAUGCUGGCAUAAUGGCCUUAAGCGACCCGUCUUGAAACACGGACCAAGGAGUCUAACUCGCAUGCGAGUGUUUGGGCGAUUAAAACCCGAGCGCGUAAUGAAAGUGAAAGUCGAGACCCCUGUCGUGGGGGGCAUCGACGCCCGGACCAGAGCUUCUGCGACGGAUCUGCGGUAGAGCAUGCGUGUUGGGACCCGAAAGAUGGUGAACUAUGCCUGAAUAGGGUGAAGCCAGAGGAAACUCUGGUGGAGGCUCGUAGCGAUUCUGACGUGCAA